AGAAAGGGGACGUUUCUGGUUUUGUCUCUGUCGGGGCUCUUCUGGGUAAUUCAGACAAGAAAACGACGAGGCGUUUGAUUCUUGCGUGAACGGCGUGUAGAGAUCUCGAGUCUCUCCGAAGACGACGGUGUUACUUCUUGGUUCGAAGGUGAAAACAGGGCUCGUGUGGGAUGAAACGUUGCUGGAGAAGACGGUGGCUGUGGUGGUUGCUGAUGAGCUGAACAUGGAUAGCGAAUCCUCCUCUGGUACGAUGUUUUUCAUCAGCGGCUCCUCCAAUGGUCCCACUCUCUCUAGCUUCUCCUCCUCCUUCUCCAUUCUCCUCUUUCUUCUCUCUCGAUCGCUUGCCGAUGUAACGGAUUCGAGAAAUAAUAGAGGCAAAAGCUGUUUAUAUACCCACUCGAGCCUAGUGGUUCGUUAUGCCCCGAGCCUUGUGUUCUAAAGCUCUCUCAACAACUUUUUGUUGUACUUAUGAAUGUGGGCCUGAUAGUCAGUCGGCCCAAGGCUCAACCCAUACUAAAAACAACGCGUUGAAGGUAAAAGCAGCAGCACCAUGGCAAUUGCUUUGCCCAUACCAUACCCCGAACUAUGGCAUGUGCCAUGUUUAGCAUUUAAUGAAAGUAAAAACUUUUUCUUCGAAACUUGUUAACCAUAUAAAUAAUCACUGUUAAAUAGAGUGAUAGUGUCAGGCAGACAGGGUCUAUUAAUGGUAAUUCAAUUGUACUAACUGAAAAAGUACUUAUUUUCUAAAGUUUAUCAGUUUCGAAUCUUUGUUUACAUUAUAAAUUAAAUAUUUUAUAUUUUUCAAAAAAUCGACUUUUAGGAUUUCGUUUGAUUUAACAUUUUUUUUGCUGCGAAAAUAUAAUUAUUGUGAAAAGAACUUAUACUGCAUACGAAUAUUGGGCAUAAAGAAUAUACAAUUAAAAUUUUCUAAAAUUAUUUAGAAACAAAAAGAGAAUAAAAGCAACAAAGAACAAUUUUUCUAUUUUUACAUAUAAUCCGAGAAUAAUUCCAUAAUCCUAUAUCCUUCCUAAAAGAAGUAUUCUUUCUGUCUACACCUCACUCUACUCCCCGGCGAAUCAUAUUCCACCGCUAGCUGUGGCAGCGCUGUUCACAACCCAAGAAAGAUCGAAACUCGCCGGAGCAGAGUUCCCGGAAAAGCUAUCUCCCACGGCGAAUUCCUCCAACCCCUCGAAGAAGUCCUCGCUCACCACCGUAUCCGACAAAGACAGCAGAUCCUCGUCUCCGACCUCUAUGUCCUCCACCGGCAAGACAAAAUCAUCUGCCGACGAUGUGACCGGAGACGUCGAGUAGGGAGCGAUCGUGGUCGUGGGAGACUUAGUCGUCGGCUGAUCAGAGGAGGUUUUCUGACGGGUGCUUCCGGCGAGAGAGUUACGGUGAGUAGGAGCUGGGUGAUUGUGCUCCGCCGUGUAAGUGACGAUGAACAUCGUCGGGUCGGAUCUGUUUCGCUCCACUUGUUUACGGGCUAAACAUCCUUUCGAUGUACUGCAUCUGUAAUAUCCUCUGUUUUUAACAAAAGAAAGUAAAAAUUUAGAAACACAGAAUCACAAAGACAUACACAGACAAGUGUUUUGUCUUGAAAUAAUAACACAAUUAAAGAACAUUAAAUGUUUUUUACUGUAAAGGUUUAAUCUUUUUUUUUCCCAUUGUAACAGUACCUUGGAUAGGGUGAGCCUUUGAUGGGUUUUUGUCCGUACUUUCGCCACGCCCAGACAUCGUUGUUUAAAGCUUCUGCUGCUACAUGGCACACUUUCUUAUGCUGUAUCUUUCUGCAACAAACACACAAGAGACUUUUUUAGUUUGGUUCGACAAAAGGUUUGAGCUUUUGUUGAACUGGUGAAAAGAGACAGAGAUCGAACCUUCUUUUAGAUCUAGAGGUGUUGGAGGCUCCUGUGGGUUUGCUAGUGACGCUGCCGGAAGAAGCAGAGAGAGAAAGGGGACGUUUCUGGUUUUGUCUCUGUCGGGGCUCUUCUGGGUAAUUCAGACAAGAAAACGACGAGGCGUUUGAUUCUUGCGUGAACGGCGUGUAGAGAUCUCGAGUCUCUCCGAAGACGACGGUGUUACUUCUUGGUUCGAAGGUGAAUACAGGGCUCGUGUGAGAUGAAACGUUGCUGGAGAAGACGGUGGCUGUGGUGGUUGCUGAUGAGCUGAAGGCUGAGCAGCCUCUGACUACGGCGUGGAGAUCCCAAUCGUCGGCCAUUUGACUUGGUUUCUCAGAGGAGAC
rnacentral:lncRNA from 1 species